CCCUUAGAUGUUCUGGGCUGCACGCGCGCUACACUGAUGCAUCCAACAAGUUUUCUCCCUUGUUCGGUAGGACUGGGUAAUCUUUUGAGUAUGCAUCGUGAAGGGGAUAGAUUAUUGCAAUUAUUAAUCUUCAACGAGGAAUUCCUAGUAAGCGCGAGUCAUCAGCUCGCGCUGAUUACGUCCCUGCCCUUUGUACACACCGCCCGUCGCUGCAACUGAUUGGGUGACCUGGUGAACAUCUUGGACCGGCCCACUCAAUUUCGAGAGGACUGGAAAAGGCCGUAAAUCAGGUACAUCUAGAAAUUGCAAAAGUCGUAACA
rnacentral:rRNA from 1 species